rnacentral:rRNA from 1 species
GUGGCCCUACGGGGCGCAGCAGUGAGGAAUAUUGGUCAAUGGGCGAGAGCCUGAACCAGCCAAGUCGCGUGAGGGAAGACGGUCCUAUGGAUUGUAAACCUCUUUUGCCGGGGAGCAAAAAGCGGUACGUGUACCGCAUCGAGAGUACCCGGAGAAAAAGCAUCGGCUAACUCCGUGCCAGCAGCCGCGGUAAUACGGAGGAUGCGAGCGUUAUCCGGAUUUAUUGGGUUUAAAGGGUGCGCAGGCGGCGAGUUAAGUCAGCGGUAAAAAUGCGGAGCUCAACUCCGUCGAGCCGUUGAAACUGC